rnacentral:rRNA from 1 species
UACGGAGGGAGCUAGCGUUAUUCGGAAUUACUGGGCGUAAAGCGUACGUAGGCGGCUUUGUAAGUAAGAGGUGAAAGCCCGGAGCUCAACUCCGGAACUGCCUUUUAGACUGCAUCGCUUGAAUCCAGGAGAGGUGAGUGGAAUUCCGAGUGUAGAGGUGAAAUUCGUAGAUAUUCGGAAGAACACCAGUGGCGAAGGCGGCUCACUGGACUGGUAUUGACGCUGAGGUACGGAAAAGCGAUGGGG